GGACUUCAUGCCCAGCCCGGGCUCUGGGCCCACAUUGGCCCCAGACUCACUGGGUGACCUUGGAGAACUUGCUCCCCCUCUCUGAUCCUGUUUCCUCCUCCUUCAGUGAGUGAAUAGUCUGCUCUGGAUGCUUCUUCCAGCUCCCAAACCUUGUAUCCAAUGCAGGGCAGAGAACUCAGGGGAGGGAGAGGUGGCUUCACUCAGUGGCCUCGGGCUAGUCCCUUCCCCUUUCAGACACUUAGCUUUUCAGUCCAGCAGUUAAAAAUCCCUCCCCUCUGUAUUGCUGUCACCAUUGACAGUACGUUUUCAUUCUACAAAGGUAGCAGCAUUUUCCAGAUAAGAAAACUACGGUUCAGGGAGGUCAAAUGAUGCACCCUGAGUAUGGCAGGGCUGGGACAGCAGCUCAAGGCUUCUGAUUUAGUCUCUAAAAUCGAUGUUGCCUCCUUUAUCUUCCAGACAUCCCACACCCCCCACCCCAGCUGCCCCUCUGAGGCCCUCCCACCCAUGGUCUUACCCUCCCAACAGGGCCCUGAGCACCUGGUUCUGCCCUGGGGAGUCAGGGUGCAAAGGCCAGACAGGCCUCCCACCAGCAUUCCAGCUGCCAGUGGGAACACAGCUGUCAGCAGGGCCAAGAGAGCCAAAAGUCACCUCCCAAACAGGCCCACAUAAUUGGUACAUUGUCAGCUCAGAGACAGAGCUGCUCUGGGCUCUUGGGCAAGCCCCGGUCCUCUCUGGGCCUUGGUUUCUUCAUCUGGCUGCAGUGCAUUGGACUAGAUGAUUUCCAAGGGCCCUCUCAGCUUGGAAUGUUGCCUGGGGAGUGAUGGAGGAGAAGAGUGGCUGGGGGCGGCAGCUGUGGCAAGGUCCAGGCAGCUGUGGGUGGGCCUCAGGUAUCUGACCCGAGGAAUCUGGCCUCUGCCUCACCUGCUUGCUGGGGUCACAGCUGGGCCCUCCCACAUCUUUGCAGGAUGGCUGGGUGGACAGACAGAUGGACAAACAAAGGUAUGAAAGAGAGCAGCAGGGGAGGAAGGGGGAAGGAGACCCUCAAGCAGUGCUCCAGGGGCUGAGCACCCCCAUGGAGGGAGGAGGGAAGCAGGCAGCAUCCCGCCCAAGGUCACUGGCCAGCAAGUGGCUGUCCUUCGGCCUGCCCUUCCCUCCCACCCGAGCCAGCCCCCACCGGCCUCCCACUGUAAAGCCUCAGGUCUCCUGGGCCAUUAGGAAUCUGCCAAGCGAGGCGUGGUCUUUUUCCUCUCUCUUGUUUCUUGGCUUGUUUUCCUGGUUCUCCAACAGCCGCCUCCUGCAAAAGCCUCCGGGUGCGUGUACGGGAACAUUUUUCUUUAAAAAAAAAAAAAAAGAGAGCGAGAGAGAAAUGCAGCCACAAUUUGGGUAAAAAAGCAACCAACUCCUUAAUCCUUCCCUGUAACCUCUGGCUCCUCAGCAGGGUUGGCUCCAGCCGCUGGGAAGGAAGGCCCUGCUGGGGUGAGAGGCCUGGGCUUGUUUCCCGCCCACCCCCUCCUCACCCGCCUCGGCUCUCCUUCAGGGUUUCGUCUGACUUCUGGAGCCAGGAGGAGACGAGCUGCAGGGCUCAGCAGAGCUCGGGAGGCAUGGGGGGCUGGCGGAGUUGGCCAGGGCCUCUGCCCUCUGCCCACUUGGCCACUUUCUAGGGAGGUUAGGCGGAGCAGGAGUUUUCACCCCUAACCCACUGCCUCUCCUCCCGCUUUCGUUCCUUUAUUCUCCUCUCCUAGACAUUGUAGUCUCUCCACGAUAAGUCCCCUGCAAGUUCCCUGAGCGCCAUCUCCCAUCUCACUGCUUCGUCAUCCAGCACCAGGGCUUGGCUCUCUUUCCGUGAAAGCCAUACACUUCCACACUCCAAGCCUCCAUCCACUCAGACUCCUCCGGAGCGGGGCACUCAAUGUCCCCGCCAGGUCUUGCUCUGUCUGCCGAACCCUUAAUUAAUUGUCUGUUGCAGCCUCAGGACCUGGGUCAGUGCUUGAAACAUCCUGGGUACUUGGUGUCUCUUGCAUGAGUGAUUUCAAACCAUCAAAAGGUCUCUAGCAAUAUUCAGGGUGAUCCUGCAAAAGGAACAUUUGAUCACGUCACAUCCCAGUUAAAACCCUUCCGUGCCUCCCCAGCACCCUUAGAAUCCAGUCCAAUUCUCCAUCCCCCACCACUUUCCAUUUGCCGGAUCGCAUCAAAGGAUUUCCUUCUUCCCCCAACACGCCAUCUUUUCUCUCGCCUCUGGGCCAUUGUACUUACAAGAAAUCCCCCCCUGCCUGCCACACCCUUCCCCAGCUCUCACCUGGCUGACUCCCUCUGGCCAGUUAUCGUGUCAGAUUAUCCAAGAAGCAGAGAAACGUGUAUUCAGGACACCAGCAAAGCAG
ensembl:lncRNA